UCCUUCGAAGCAUUGACGGCGAUGCACGGGACUUUUAAUCCCGGGAACCAGGUUCGACUCCUGGCGGGGGAA
rnacentral:tRNA from 2 species